CCAGCCAGGCCGCGUGGUCCCGCUGCGCCGCCCGACUCCCGAGCGCGCCAGCGAAAAAACCAGUCCAUCGCCGGCAACGGUCGACGACGCUACUGACGCUACUUCGCUCAUCGCCGGCGGCCGCUCGCCAGUUCAGCGCUCCUUGUGGGGGAGCAGCCGCGUGUGCGCGCGUUUUGAAUCCCCUCCGUGCAUGCUGCGACGCCUUGGCCCGUGCGCUCGACCGAAGACGCUCGCUCAUCGCUUGGACGACGACACCUGCGUGCUGCGUCGCGGUCGUCCCCUGAACACGGCGUCGUCUCCGGGAGUCAGGAGGCGUGACUUUUCGCGCGCUUGUGCGGAGUCCGCGCGUUGCGCCCACUUCUACUCGUCGUCCCGCGACGGGUCACCGCCGCUCGCUGCGUGGAUGACCAGCACGAUCUGACCGUCGAAAGUGGCAGUGAUGGUAGAGCGUUACUGUUACUCGUAGAAAAGUUUUCCCACGGACCACAUCUGUAAAAAUUUCACCCGAGGACAGGAGAUACUCGAGGUGUGUAGUGAUAGUCGGGUAAACGUUCGCUUAGCGCCGACUUGCGUUGCGGAAAAACGCGCUCGUCGUUGGUACGCUGCUCUCCAUCGGCCCCGGCAAUUCUGGUGGCUGUGAUUUUGUUGCGCGAGUUCGAUCACUAGUGACCGCGGAUUGUGCGCCGUGUUGUUUCUCAACAGUGGAGCAGGACGAAGAAACGACGGCGUCAUCAUCUUCUGCGGAGACCUGCGCCGGGAAAUAAGUGCUCCUCUCCGGGCUGUGUGCUUUAGUUUCUUCCCCCCUUCCAGUUAUUAUUUGUGCCCCCCGUUUGUUUUUGGUUGUGCGUUUCACCCGGAGGCCGCCAAAACAUGAGUGUUGUUCAGCGCCAGCGUGUUGCGGCCCUGUGGAUACCGUUCGCCCUCGUCGCCGCCAGCACCGUCAUAGGUAAGCCCAACUUUCUACGUGCCUCUUUUGCAACAAAGUCACCGAUUGAGACCUUUCCGGCUGCAAAAUGCGUCAUUCACAGGUAAGGAUAACGCAACACUUG
rnacentral:lncRNA from 1 species